rnacentral:lncRNA from 1 species
AUGUCAAUCAAAAAUAAUAGACCCAUUAUCACUCACCUUAAUGGGAGGCUAUGAUCUAGUUAUCAUCAUAACCAGCUCAUUUUGAGGACCUAAUAAUUUAGAAGAUUUAAUCAAUUUAGAGAAGAGAGAAGAGAAGAAAAGAUCAAUAAGUAGACCAUAAUCCUCCCACUAACUUUACUAAGUCACUGAAUCAGAUUAGGUCAUGCUGAUUGAACUGGCACCU